CAAUUAUCCACACUUGAAAAGGGUUAGCUAUGAGAGGAAAAAGAUCUUUAUUGAACUGAUUCAACGUAAAUCAAUACAAGAGGACAUAUAUAGAGAGAACUCUACCCCAAGAGUAAUGAUUACAAUGAUUUCUAGUAUCUUAGAGUAAAACACUAGUUAUAACCACAAUAUCUCGUGGCAACUCAACAAAAUAUUUUCUCCUUACUCAACAUCCACUAAUGGAUCCCCCAGGAUGAUCUCAACAUUUUCCCAAAGGAAAAAGACCAACCCCACUCCCCUCUAACAGAAUCAACCAUUCUCCAAAUACUCCUUCUCUACUAAUUGAAACAGAAAUACACCUAAACAGAACCACUAAACAAUCAAUCCUACUUUUUAUUCUUAGGUUUACAACUAUGGACCUGAGUGGGAUAUCAAUUCCCUGCCCAACAGAGUUAGCCUUGUCCUCAAGGCUGAAACCUGGAAAGGGCAAAUGGUUGUUGCAGACCGCCAAAUGACUUUCUCAACAAAUUAGAUUCAACAAUGUCAAGACGAUGCAGUGUCAUUCUUUUACUCAUACGUGAAUGGGCAAGCUUCACCUAUGAACCAUGUAAAAAAACAGACCAUUCUCCUCACUCAACAAAGACCCUUGGAUACAGAAAAGCAGUUUCUGCAGGAUUGGAACAAAAAAUGAGUUUUAGAAUUCUCUCACCUGCCUCUGUGAUAACUUGCUUUAAUUGCUCGAAAAUCAGAACUCGAGUCAGGAAACUCUUUCUCCCCUGCCGCCUCUGUGAUAACUUGCUUCAAUUGCUCUUUAGCUACCUAGUAAAAAGAUGAAACACAUAAUGAAAUACACAAAUAGAAUCACAUGACAAAUCCUAAACAUCAAAUUACCUUCAAAUCGGUUCCGUGUAGAGGCAGAGAGAGUAGGGUUUUGUGAGGCAGAGAGCGCUAGGGUUCGUAUGGAGGCAGAGUUCGUGUGAGGCAGGCAUGGCUAGGGUUCGUGUGAGGCAGAGAGCCCUAGGUUCGUGUGGAAGCAACAAGCACUAGGGUUCGUGGGAGCCAGACAUCGCUAGGGUUUGUGUGAGGCAGAGUGCUCGAUUCGUGUGGAAGCAGCGCAGGGUUCAUGUGAGUGUGAGGCAGAGAGAAGGACGAGAGUGAAAGUGUUAGACUUAGGGUCACUCUUGUUUUCAAAAUGAAAUUAAAAAAAAAUUAUUUUCUUAAGUU
rnacentral:lncRNA from 1 species